rnacentral:lncRNA from 1 species
AAAAGGUUCGCGUGUAGCGGGAACAUCCCUAUAAACCUCCAUGGAUACCAGUAGGCUGGUUAAAAAAGGGGCAAUUAUUGUUUUGAUGAUUAGAAUAUGAAAGUAUAUACAGAAUCAUGAUAUAUAUAAUGUUAUGGAUUGUUUUCUAUGGGUUGUUUUUUAUAAAUCUCACUACAGUAAGUGAACGGUAAAUAGUUUUAUUAUUGAUAAAUAAAUUUGCUUAAUUUAGUGCUCCAUAGUUGUUU